CUACCAGUUGUGUAAAUAUGAAUAUACAUUUAGUUCGUAAAUAAUAAUACCAGCUUUGUUCGCACUUGAGAUGUUAAUGAAUUACAGCACAUAAAUAACAACAUUUGAGUGUUAACUGUGGAUGCUUUGCCUUUUGCUUUUCACAAUGUAACGCAGUCCCCACAAUAAUGACAAUCAACCAUCCACAAUGUGUACCAAUUUACUUCUGCCAGGUGUGAAUCUACUAUAUAUUUUUGAUUAUGUCUCACAGUAUAUGAUCACACAUUUUGUGACUUUUUUUCUAAGUUAACAUACAAUAAUGUUUAUGUUCAACCAAAUAGAAAAAUGAUUUUGAGCAAAGAGAGGGAUGCGGCACGGGUGGCAUUUGAGGAGGCUCUUCGAGAAAGCUAUCGCACAGCAUUACAAUUUCAACAUGAUCAGAAGGAGCGAGCUGCAAAGUGACAGUCACCUGCUCCUGCCACUAGCCUUGCCCCUGUCCAAUGGAUAGAGAGGGACAGCAGAGCCAACAAAAUUCACAAAAGACCUGGACAUAAAAGCUACAAGAAGACCUCAAGACAUGUCACAGUGAAGGACAUGGACCUUACCGGAACAGGUGACCAUAUUGCAGCUAAUGGCG
ensembl:lncRNA